AACAUGUUCUCUGUAGCUCUGCUGCUGCUGCUGGCUGCUGCAUCCUGUGUGAAGUGUGAACAGUUGACACAGCCAGGCUCUGUGACUCUGCAGCCAGGUCAGCGUCUCACCAUCAGCUGUCAGGUCUCUUAUGACCUGGGCAGCUACUACACAGCCUGGAUCAGACAGCCUGCUGGGAAAGGACUGGAGUGGAUUGGGAUGAAAUAUACUGGAGGCUCAUAUUACAAAGAUUCACUGCAGAACAAAUUCAGUAUAGACUUAGACUCUUCCAGUAAAACAGUGACUCUGAACGGACAGAAUAUGCAGCCUGGAGACUCUGCUGUGUAUUACUGUGCCAGACUAGACACGGUGACACAAACCAGCUGCAGAGCUGAACAAAAACCCCAAAGUGCCUGA